GCGGAAGGAUCAUUAGAAAUAUCUGGGAUGCUCAAUAUGAGUUCCCAACAAAACACAUUCAUGCGUAUUCUUCCGUGUGUUUCCCCAGACCAAUGGCCAGUACGUACCAUCUUGGCCCAUAACAGGGUAUCCAGCUGGUGUACAGCCGCGUGUGUCUGGGAAGGCCCAAAUUGGCAAAACUUUAUGUUAACUUACUGUCUGACAAGGCCAUGUGCCCCUGUAUUUUAAAUAUUUUAAAACUUUCAACAACGGAUCUCUUGGCUCUCGCAUCGAUGAAGAACGCAGCGAAAUGCGAUAAGUAAUGUGAAUUGCAGAAUUCAGUGAAUCAUCGAAUCUUUGAACGCACAUUGCGCCCUUUGGUAUUCCUUAGGGCAUGCCUGUUCGAGCGUCACUAAAAACCCCAUCACAUUAUGUGUGGUAUUGGCAGAAGUGGGUACUCCCACCCUGCUGGAAUCAAUAGGCUGGAAAAGUAGAUCGUAGCAACAGACUUUCAGAGUGUUUUGAAAUGCUAAAUUAGUUUGAAGCUGGUCGGAACCCCAGGCCAUUUGACCCCCAUUCUGCACAAAGCAGUAAGGUUGACCUCGGAUCAGGUAGGGAUACCCGCUGAACUUAANCAUAUCA
rnacentral:rRNA from 1 species